GCCGGGGUGGCGAAACUGGCAGACGUGCUAGCUUGAGGGGCUAGUGCCCUUUGGGGCGUAGGAGUUCAAAUCUCCUCCCCGGCACCA
rnacentral:tRNA from 1 species